rnacentral:rRNA from 1 species
GAUGAACGCUGGCGGCGUGCCUAAUACAUGCAAGUCGAGCGAACGGACGAGAAGCUUGCUUCUCUGAUGUUAACGGCGGACGGGUGAGUAACACGUGGAUAACCUACCUAUAAGACUGGGAUAACUUCGGGAAACCGGAGCUAAUACCGGAUAAUAUUUUGAACCGCAUGGUUCAAAAGUGAAAGACGGUCUUGCUGUCACUUAUAGAUGGAUCCGCGCUGCAUUAGCUAGUUGGUAAGGUAACGGCUUACCAAGGCAACGAUGCAUAGCCGACCUGAGAGGGUGAACGGCCACACAGGAACUGAGACACGGUCCAGACUCCUACGGGAGGCAGCAGUAGGGAAGCUACCGAAAUGGGCGAAAGACUGACGGAGCAACGCCGCGUGAGUGAUGAAGGUCUGCGGAUCGUAAAACUCUGCUAUUAGUGAAGAACAUAUGUGUAAGUAACUGUGCACAUCUUGACGGUACCUAAUCAGAAAGCCACGGCUAACUACGUG